rnacentral:rRNA from 1 species
AUUGAACGCUGGCGGCAUGCUUUACACAUGCAAGUCGAACGGCAGCACGGGUGCUUGCACCUGGUGGCGAGUGGCGAACGGGUGAGUAAUGUAUCGGAACGUACCCGGCAAUGGGGGAUAACGUAGCGAAAGUUACGCUAAUACCGCAUAUGCCCUGUGGGGGAAAGUGGGGGAUCGCAAGACCUCACGUUGUCGGAGCGGGCGAUAUCAGAUUAGCUAGUUGGUGGGGUAAAGGGCUACCAAGGCGACGAUCUGUAGCUGGUCUGAGAGGACGACCAGCCACACUGGGACUGAGACACGGCCCAGACUCCUACGGGAGGCAGCAGUGGGGAAUUUUGGACAAUGGGGGCAACCCUGAUCCAGCCAUGCCGCGUGAGUGAAGAAGGCCUUCGGGUUGUAAAGCUCUUUCGGACAGAAAGAAAUCGCCACUUCUAAUAAAGGUGGUGGAUGACGGUACUGUAAGAAGAAGCACCGGCUAACUACGUGCCAGCCGCCGCGGUAA